AAUUAUUAUCUUUAUGAUUUUGUGAUUUCAAAAUGUGUGCAUGCUUAGCACCUAUGCCUAACAUUUUGAAUUCAAAGUCAGUCUUUGAGUUUCUUGAAGUUUUAUUUGUAAAAGUCAUUAAGUAGAUAUAAGCAAGUGUACCUUUAAAGGAAUCUAUUUUUUUGUAAUGACUUGUUUUAUUCAUGUAUACAGGAUAAACUAUUGAAUCUUAUUGUAAGAAGAUCAAGUAGCAUCAUGUUUGUUACUAAAGAUUUGAAUGUAAGCACGUAGUUUACAUUGUACUUAUUAUUAUUACACGGCAAGAUGUGAGCGAUAACAAGACACAGCUAGUGAUUAUUCUUAGAUUUAAGGUUUAAGCUUCCCUACUAAAGCCAAAAAGCUUUCACGCCCAUGCCAGAGGCAAACUUAGUACAGAGGAUCUAAUAAAGAGCCUUGUGAUACAAGAUAGUGUCUGUUGACUGACCCAGCACUAAUAAUUUGACACAAGUGUGAUCCAUGGUGCGAGGCUCCACAAGGACCCCAUUCCGAGGCAAUGGCAAAGCUGCCUGGUCCAGUAGGAGAGAGUUCACACUAGGCUCUCUCCACCUACCUCUGAUCUGUACCUGCUGGGUCCCCCUUAACCUUGUGGUUAGACAAGAGUGGACUCUUAGGCUGAUCAAAGGCAAGCUCUGGGCAUCAUAUUCAAGGGUUUGGACUUGCUUUAGUAUCUUUAGCAAUAGUCCUUCACCGCAUUUUCUCCCACCCUUAGGAUUAUUAGUAAACACUUCAGGAAACGUGUAAUGUAAAAAGUACUGGUUGAAGAUUGUGUGGUGAAUGGGCUGAUUCUGAUCUUUCACCUUGCUGGCCAGACAUCUUGUGGUACCUGCACCCUACACCACCACUACAGGCAUGUUUUUAUGGAUGGCUGUAUGAAGGAGAUGAAAGUUAAUGAAGAAAACAUCACAAGGCAGAAGUGAAAUAGAGAGGCCAACACAGUGACCACCUUGGUGGAUCUCAAGACUCGCCUAACCUUAAAAGUUCUCAAGCACACCAGGACCUGAUGGACAGACAUUUGCUACCAGCACUUCUGGAGACUAGAGACUGUAUCACAAAACCAAGAGAACUGCUGCACACGUCUAUCCUCCAGACAGGUAACAUGAAAAGUGCACCGCAGCCAGGCCUCCACCACACCGGUAGCAGACAUCCACCCUGCUACCCUCCCUCGCUCGUUAAUGGAAAAUUGCAUGUUAUAAUAGUGAUAAUUAUGGUGGCUACGUAAAUGUUGUCGGGGUUUUCAAGGGUAUUUGUAUGAUCCUAGCAAUAGUUUGACUAGGAUUCCGCAUCAUAGAAAAAAAAAAAUGUCCAUAAGAACCUAAUUUGUUACAUCUGUGGCCUUCGAGGCGAUGGUUGUGGUAUUUGACAUGAAAUCAGAGCGUCUUAAGGGUGGGUUGAUGGGGAAGGAACCCAAUACGAUAUGUAAUGUCUUAUCUCAUUGUCUGUUAUAUGUUUAUUAUGUAUACUAUACCAAACAGAUAACCUUUUAGAGGGCAGUUAGGACCAGGCACCCACGGUUGCAUGUAAACACACAGACGUGCAAAUGAAACUAGUCCAUAAUCUGAGGAAGUUCUCACUCCUAUCACUUAAGUUCUUUUUACUAAGCAUAAGGAAAACAGUAGCAGUAUCCUUACAUAGUGGGCAUGGGCUGAUAUCCUCCAUAAAGUGAGCUGAGACAAAGUGCCUCCAUGCAUACAUUUCCAUCCAAAUUACAUAUACAUAUACACCAUGUGUACAGAAGUAAACACUUACCUCAAACAUUUUGUUGAUUGUCCUCUCUUGAUAACUUAGUAGUCUUUGUGGGAGGGAGUCUGCCUGUGUUUGAAAUGUUCUCAAUCAAUGUUUUAUGAAUUGUCCCAAAAUGCUUUUUCAUUGUAUAAACAGCAAUAAAAAAUGCCAAGGAUCA